AAUUCAUUUUAUUUCAACAAACAAAAAUUGGUUGCAUCGGAACGGAAACUUUAAUGAGGCUCGCGUGGCAUAAAACGUAAACUUAUCGUGGAAAUCUUUCUCGCUGGGGGAAGGAGAGAAAUCAAACACUUUGAAAGGCGUUUAAAAAAUGUAAAACACUUUUUGAUAAAAGUUCUUAAGGAUCUGCCAUCCCUCCCUUAUCCCGCGGUCCGCCCAAAUAAAUUUCGUUGUACUACACAAAUAUUUCACGUGGCGCCCCGCCAUUUAAAGUUAGUUCGAGAAACUGCUUAGCAUCUACUUAUUCACUAGAUUUUUCAACAUGAACAUCGGAGCUACGAGUUAUCCAGCCGGUCCGCGCUUCCAGACAGACGUAUAGAUCGCGACCCAUAAAUAACAAGGAAGGGAAGGGCCCUCGUCUUUAAUACGAUCCCCGUUUCCCGAACUCAUAACCGUUGAUCUUCCGCUGGAAAUUCACGAGGAAACGCGACAAAGGUUCACGGCGCAAGAUGCACACGAUGUAACAUUCAACAAACGCCGGUAGACAAUGUUCCAAACUAUACAACAUACAUUUUGACAAGUUCCAGUUUCGCUUCGCAAGCAGCCGGAAAUUGAACACCGGCUGUGUUUCCUGUAUCCACGGCGGCGAGCCAGAUUCCGCGAUGGUAGUUUUACCGCGCUUUCAAGACAAACCCUGAGACGAUGAAACGGAUUUACACGAUAAAAUUAUCAUGUAAAAAGAAAAUAAGAUCGUCCGAAUUGAAAAAUCCAUGCUGUAUCUAUAUCGAAUAUAUACAUGUUUGAACAUCUUUGGAGGAAUUCUAGAAGUUGAUUGAAGAGGAGUUACACAGUAUCGACGUCAGCGACAAUGCUAGGCCGAAAGUUCUAGCGGGCGAUGUCGGCAAAUUGGUGAAAGGGUUGGCUUCAAACUGAAAUUGAGAGGGGUUGGACGUCGCCGGUACCCAACAUCAGAAGGGCAGAGGCGGGAUACGACGCUUCUGGGCUGUCGUGAACCCUGGCUGGAGCCACCGGUGUACUUGGCAGAGAGUGCUUUUCAUCUCCGUAAAUGGACCGGCGGAGAAGAAAUCCAGCGAAACGAAGUGCCUGGGGACAGUUGACGAAUUUAUCGAUUCGCAUACAGGGCAAAAAUUGCACGCGUGCACACGAGAGAUUUGAAACAGAUUCUAUCGAUUUCAGGAACAGGCAAUUCAUACCUUCAGGCCUUAGAUCGCGAAAGGAUCGAUCAGAUAGACGCAUAACGAACCAUUUAUCAUAGAGUGAAAUUGUUACGUCGACGGAUCUCGAUUCUCAUCGAAGCAAAGAAAAAGACGGCUAAACACGGAGAGACAGAGAGAGUAACUUUCCUCCGCACGCUUUGCGGAGAAAGAAGAAGGGGGUUGUGCCGCUUUUGUCGUGCUGCACAGACGCGUGGAAAAGAAGAGGCCGAUGGGCAGCCUCUUUAAAGAGUAAUUACGCUUACACUCGAUGUAUCCUGCGCCCCGUGAUAUUCUUCAUCGUUUUUUUCAGGAAAUCACCUAUUUCAAGGAUGCGCUGGAGACGUGUGUGAGAGAGAGAGAGAAAGAGAGAAAGAGAGAGAGAUGGGCGCGCAAGCUCAAAUCCUACAUUCCUCAAGGCGAAGCUAGAGCGAAACGGACGAGUACAGAAUCCAUUUAGAUAAGUAAACGACUUUGUUAAUUAGAUUUGUCGAAAGUAAAGCGGAGGUGGGAGUGAGCACAGCUGGGGAAGGUGAAAUAAUCCCCGGCACACUGAGCGGAAGAGUUGAAUCGGCGGGAGGCCGACAAAGAAGCUGCAUGCUGCACUUUGACAAAGAUUUGCAGGAGAGGAGGGAGGUGAGGGCGUAAAGGACGGAAAUGGGGCAGGUGAGGGUGCGGGGCAAGGGGGCGAAGGGCAAACGAGAGAGAAAAUUGGGGUGUGCGAAAGCGAGUAAAAGUUUCUCGCGAUAAUUGUCCGACUUUAAAGCGUCUCGUGAUGCUAAAUAACGUGCUCGAAUCUUGCCUUGUUCUCCUUACUAUAUCGCUCUAUUCUCCUCUGGAUCCCGAUUUCUUUUCCUCGCGAAAGGAAGAAAAAGAUCCUUGACAAUGUGGAUGAUGAAUAAAUUUCGUUUUAACGUUAAUUUAAAAUUACACGGUGACGAGAUAUUUUAUAUUUAUCGCGUUAUUUAUGUAUUUUCGUGAAAAAGUAAUCGGAUAAUAGUAAUAUUAAAUAUAAUGUUUAUGGGAAAAGAGAUUUGGAAGAUAAAAUUGUAACGUUAGAUAUUUUAUAUAUAUUUUUUUUUAAUAUUAAAUGGAUAAUGUUCGUUAAUAACGGAUCUUUGUUAAUAACGGAGAAAGAUAGUAUCGACAAAUAUUUUUUAUAGAAAAGGUUAAUAAGUGUCAUUUUGUAAUUACAUCGUUCGUUUGCUCUAACCCUUAAAGUAGUAAAUAAUCAGUGACUUAUGAAAGGUAGCGGUUAUUUAUUAUAAGCGUAAGAUCUUUGCAAUUUGGUAUUUUUUUUUCUUUUUUUCAUUAAAAGUAGUUAAUAAGUGUCAACUCUAUUUUAUAAUUAUAUCGUUCCUUUUUUUUUUUUUUAUUACCAAGUAAUCGUGUUGAACAAUUCACAAACGGUGAUAUUACAUUAUGGAGGACGUGUUUUCAUAAAAAUAUACGUAUUAUAAUGGAACAUAUUCGUGUUCACCCGGCAUAAAUUAUUUCCAGUGUGUGAUUAUCAAUAGCGCAAUGAAAUUUUCUUUCGUCCCUUAAACGAAACACGGCCAUUUCUCGCACGUAAUCGGCGAGGCAUGCAAGCGUUCGCCGAAACGCGAUAGCAAUUAAAGUGUUAAUUACUCUGACGAAGCUGAAUUGGCAGAAACUGGUGGGUGGUGAGAGGGUGGAAGGAAGUAAGACAAAGGGUUGCGACGCGUUUGGACAAAGAUUCAAAGAGAAAGAGAAAGGAAGGAGGUGGGGCAUGGCUAGGAAAGGGCGCAGGCGGUGAAACUUUUACGCGAUAAUUGUCUCGGUUGAAAAUACUUUUCGGUCGUUACCUUUCUUGCCACUUGCAGGAAGGCUUGACCCUUCCGUCUUUCAACGCGUCCUCCUCGCGAUGCACCCUUGCAUUUUUCCGCUUUAGGUAAUUCCGCUUUGUCUGUACCGAAAUGCGAUUAUCAACGAGCAUAAAAAUGCUUGACCAACGCGAAUACAGAGGCAUCUUAAUAAACACAUCUUAAUAAACAAUAACACCUCGAGGAUUAAAACCUCGAAUAUAAAUAUAAACUUCGUAUCUUUAUUUCAUCGAUCAACUUUCAUAUAAAUCAAAGAGAAAUUAGAGAAGCGAUUAAUUAAAGUCUUCUCCAAAAAGCUCGAUCGAGAUAAAUAUGUUGUAGAUACGUGUUGGUGAGGCAACAGCAAUCCAUAGACCACCUACGGCCUUACGCCGUAAUUUAGAGAGAAAGGAGAGACACAGAAUCUGUUAGCGUGGCACAACGAAACUUAGGAAGAAGGUUUCCGCGAAACUGUGGUCCGCAGGGGAGCCGCGCGAACAAAGAGUCGCGUCUCCUGAGCCGAAAGAAGGCUCGGCCUGCCGGUGUCCGACGAAAGGAAACGCUGUGCGCCGUAACCGACGGAUAACGAUCGUGGGGAUCGUGGAUCUAGUACCGAUUCAUGGUCUCUCUCUCUGUCUCUCAUUCUAUGCGAACAGAGCCAUAGGUAUGCCCGUUUACGCAUACAUUUGCCGGACGCGAGAUUCCAGCUCUGUGGAAGUAGCUGCCCCUGCAGUUAAGACCUCAGGGUAUCAGGUUUCCCCGAUUGUAUCAUCAAACGGUCCCUGCUCGGUUUCUUCGUCAUCUUGCGCGGCGAGGCAACCAGCUCGGUUAUUUCCAGCCUCCUCCUGCGCUCGCCCUCCCUUUCUCUCGUCCCUAUGAUUCCCUCCUCGCUCGUGGCCGGCGGCGGCGACGCCGGCGUCGCGCUUUCGAGAAACAAGCUUAAUCCGUAAGGACAUCUCUCGCGAUAGAGGGGUCAACGCCAGCUGCACGCCCUGGGUGACGGUUUGCUCGUUCCGCCGUCUGCUUAGACCGCUGAUCACUGCACAUGGCGAGAGUCGGCGUUGGAUGGCGUUGAUCGCUGAUUACGCUAUUGAUGAUGAAUGGCGUCGUGGUUGAGACGGUAAUUCGCUACGAAGCGAAUUGUUACGCGUGUCGUCCUCGUCUUUUUCUUGUUUCGCGCGAGGAGUGAGGAAGCUUAACGCAUAAUAAUUUUUCUUUUUUUUUUUUUCUUUUUUUAAGGAGACAACGAGUAUAGCUUUGCGACUUAAGCGGUGAUGGCCUAACGGUGUUCUUACGCCCUUUCUUUCUACGAACUGGCUCGAUUUACGCGUAUUAAAUAUAGAGGCUUUUAAAAGAGAAUCCCGCCACGAGAGGGAAAGAAGGGGAAGAAGGGGAGAGGAGAGUGGAAGGACGCGCACGCAAUCCGAGACAAUAUCCCGUUUUGGCUAAGAGGAUCGCCAUCUCGGCAGUGGCAGUUUUAAUAAAUUUCGCCGAUUUCCAAGCGGCGAAAUCUACGCUCACCGCAAUGCAACGUCGUGGAUUGCGACUAUCUACGAGUAAACGGACAGAAUACCCGUACUUUCGGUUUAUUAUACUUCGUUACCACCUCACGAUUUUGUAAAACGUUUUAAUAUCAUCGAUGUUCUAUAUGUUUGUAACAAACUUUUAUGUUUCAAAAAAUAAAUAAAAAUUUAAAAAAUUUAAAAA